GAUGAACGCUGGCGGCGUGCCUAAUACAUGCAAGUCGAGCGAACAGACGAGGAGCUUGCUCCUCUGACGUUAGCGGCGGACGGGUGAGUAACACGUGGAUAACCUACCUAUAAGACUGGGAUAACUUCGGGAAACCGGAGCUAAUACCGGAUAAUAUAUUCAACCGCAUGGUUCAAUAGUGAAAGACGGUUUUGCUGUCACUUAUAGAUGUAUCCGCGCCGCAUUAGCUAGUUGGUAAGGUAACGGCUUACCAAGGCAACGAUGCGUAGCCGACCUGAGAGGGUGAUCGGCCACACUGGAACUGAGACACGGACCAGACUCCUACGGGAGGCAGCAGUAGGGAAUCUUCCGCAAUGGGCGAAAGCCUGACGGAGCAACGACGCGUGAGUGAUGAAGGUCUUCGGAUCGUAAAACUCUGUUAUUAGGGAAGAACAAAUGUGUAAGUAACUAUGCACGUCUUGACGGUACCUAAUCAGAAAGCCACGGCUAACUACGUG
rnacentral:rRNA from 1 species